rnacentral:lncRNA from 1 species
GCCUCCCAAAGUGCUGGGAUUACAGGCGUGAGCCACCACACCCUGCCCAGGAAUACAUGAGACUUUGAAGUUCUGAUUGCUAACCCAAGCAAUGUUGGCUGUAAUUAUCAGGCCCCGCUGUGUUCAGAAACUUAAAGUUUAGGUGGGAAAGUAAAACUCAGUAAUCAUAGGUAAACAGAGACCAAGUAAGCGCUGCUCUUCGAGGUCUAGAUAUAGCUGUGGCAAGAGGCACGCUGGGGAGGAAGAAAAGUUCUGGGUAACCUGGAGGGGUCAGGGAGGAGUUUCAGAAAGUAGUCGUGGCCUUGGCUUGGGUGUGGAAGUAAUAGCAAACUCAGCAAGAUACCUUUUAUGUUUUGAUAACGGCUUUAUGGAGAUAUAAUUUGCAUACCAUUCAAUUCACCCCUGUAAAGUGUAUAAAUCGGUUUUUAGUACAUUCAUGGAGUUGUGCAAUCAUUACCAUCAUCAAUUUUAGAACAUUUCCAGCACCUC